rnacentral:rRNA from 2 species
AAAUUGAAGAGUUUGAUCAUGGCUCAGAUUGAACGCUGGCGGCAGGCCUAACACAUGCAAGUCGAACGGUAACAGGAAGCAGCUUGCUGCUUUGCUGACGAGUGGCGGACGGGUGAGUAAUGUCUGGGAAACUGCCUGAUGGAGGGGGAUAACUACUGGAAACGGUGGCUAAUACCGCAUAACGUCGCAAGACCAAAGAGGGGGACCUUCGGGCCUCUUGCCAUCAGAUGUGCCCAGAUGGGAUUAGCUAGUUGGUGAGGUAACGGCUCACCAAGGCGACGAUCCCUAGCUGGUCUGAGAGGAUGACCAGCCACACUGGAACUGAGACACGGUCCAGACUCCUACGGGAGGCAGCAGUGGGGAAUAUUGCACAAUGGGCGCAAGCCUGAUGCAGCCAUGCCGCGUGUAUGAAGAAGGCCUUCGGGUUGUAAAGUACUUUCAGCGGGGAGGAAGGUGUUGUGGUUAAUAACCGCAGCAAUUGACGUUACCCGCAGAAGAAGCA